UACGUAGGGUGCGAGCGUUAAUCGGAAUUACUGGGCGUAAAGCGUGCGCAGGCGGUUCGCCAAGUCUGAUGUGAAAGCCCCGGGCUCAACCUGGGAACUGCAUUGGAAACUAACGGGCUCGAGUGUGGCAGAGGGGGGUGGAAUUCCACGUGUAGCAGUGAAAUGCGUAGAGAUGUGGAGGAACACCGAUGGCGAAGGCAGCCCCCUGGGCUAACACUGACGCUCAGGCACGAAAGCGUGGGGAGCAAACAGG
rnacentral:rRNA from 1 species